rnacentral:rRNA from 1 species
CCAGACUCCUACGGGAGGCAGCAGUGGGGGAUAUUGCACAAUGGGGGGAACCCUGAUGCAGCGACGCCGCGUGGGUGAAGGAGCGCUUCGGCGCGUAAAGCCCUAUCGGCAGGGAAGAAGGAGGACGGUACCUGACUAAGAAGCCCCGGCUAACUACGUGCCAGCAGCCGCGGUAAUACGUAGGGGGCGAGCGUUAUCCGGAUUUACUGGGUGUAAAGGGAGCGUAGACGGUUAAUCAAGUCUGAAGUGAAAGCCCGCGGCUCAACUGCGGAACGGCUUUGGAAACUGAGUAACUGGAGUGCUGGAGGGGCAGGCGGAAUUCCUGGUGUAGCGGUGAAAUGCGUAGAUAUCAGGAGGAACACCGGUGGCGAAGGCGGCCUGCUGGACAGUAACUGACGUUGAGGCUCGAAAGCGUGGGGAGCAAACAGGAUUAGAUACCCUAGUA